rnacentral:pre_miRNA from 1 species
GUGAGCAGGGAAGAGGAAGAAAGAGAGCCUCUAAGAGCGAUGGGAAUAGGAACAUGGAGGAAAGCCUGAAGCUAAAUUUUCUACUCCAGUAUCGGAGUUAGAAAUUUGCUCUGCGUUUUCCCGAUGCCUCCUAUUCCUACCGAUCUUAGGUACUCCUUCCUCUUCCUUUAAGCUCAU